rnacentral:rRNA from 1 species
UACGAAGGGGGCUAGCGUUGUUCGGAAUUACUGGGCGUAAAGCGCACGUAGGCGGAUACUUAAGUCAGGGGUGAAAUCCCGGGGCUCAACCCCGGAACUGCCUUUGAUACUGCGAAUCUCGAGUCCGGAAGAGGUGAGUGGAAUUCCUAGUGUAGAGGUGAAAUUCGUAGAUAUUAGGAAGAACACCAGUGGCGAAGGCGGCUCACUGGUCCGGUACUGACGCUGAGGUGCGAAAGCGUGGGGAGCAAACAGG